ensembl:lncRNA
AUGGGUCUCAGGUUCUCUUUCCCAGCAGGGGGGGUUGACCUCAGGGGUUUUCUCUGCAGGCUUUGUUCACAUCAAAGCUUUAGUCAAAUCAUCGAUUUCUUGUCUUCUCAACUACUUUUGUGCGUCUCUUUAUGUCUUCUUUUACCUGACAACCAGGAUGAGCCCUCAGUGGGGAUUCAUGACAUUCAGGACUGGAGGAGGCUGAACCCUGAGCCCUCCUCCCCUGAGUCGAUCAUCAAAGAGGACGCUGCCCUGCAAGAUGGACCCGCCUUCACUCAGCGCGUGUCAGCGUGUGUUGGUCAGCAGCAGGAAAGCAAAGCCACCGACCACGUUCAUCAAAUGCUUAUCAGAGCGAUGAGAACAGAAGUCUUUACAGGACGGAGCCUGCCUGCAGCUCAGCUUCAGAACCAGUACCAGUGUCUCUGUGAGGUUCUGCUCAGCAUGGCCACGCAGAGGAGUCCAACUCGAGCCUUCAGGGCAGGAACUUUACCAGGACUCUAGUGUCCAGCUUCCACCGAAAAGAGAAGAUCUGACUACCCAAGUCUGGCGUCCCACUGGUCCAAGUCUGUCUGGACUUUCAUGGAACUCUUGUGGAUUUUUUGAGGCCUUUUUUGCCAGAUUCUUGGUUAAAAGAAAUACUCUAAUUACUUUUUUACACUGAGACAGUUUUGGAUCUUUCCCUUUUUUUUCCAUUUUUUGUCUCGGUCUUAUCGAAGGACUCUCAGCUGCAGGUUUGGGUUUCAGGAGAGCACAGGGAGUGGGGGGGUGUAACACUUUGUGUCUUUUCUUGUUGCACUAUGACCUGUGAGUGUUACUGCCGUCAUUAAAGCUGACCCAUGGCUUCUCCGCACUCAGAUGAUUUUGUAUUUAUUUUUUGUCAAACGCUGCACUCUCAGCUGCUUCUGAAACACCGACCAUGCCCCCCCCCCCACCCAGACGAUACAGAGGACAAACUCUGCGGCUCUGCUGGCUCCAAUCAUUUCACUCACUGACCCACAGAACCAGGAUCUGGGGGUGCUGCCGCAGACACCUCUGCUGACCCUUAGUGGUGUUUCAACUACUACUGUGAACUUUUAUGAUUCUUUCUUUGUAUAAUUCAAUUAUGCUUUUAAUAUAUGGGAAUUCUGUAUGUAUACCUAUAUGAAUAUACACUUACC